AUUAAUCCCGGGGCAACCCGGUAGAUACAUGUACGAAAAGUGAGAACGUGGGCAAAGCAUACAAACUUUUAACAAUGGAUCUCUUGGCUCUUGCAUCGAUGAAGAACGCAGCAAAGUGCGAAAUGUAAUGCGAUUUGCAACUUCUGUGAGUCAUCGAGUCUUUGAACGCAUAUUGCACCAAGUGCGCAAGCAUCUGGUAUGCCUGUUUGAGAAUCAUUUACAAACCAAGUGUCCUUGUGACCAGUUGUGCCCACAGCAAUGGGGCGCCAAGUUCAGUGUUGAUGUGUUAAGCAUAUUCAUCUCUGCCCUUCCACACUAUGAUCUCAAAUCAGGCAAGACUACCCGCUGAACUUAA
rnacentral:sRNA from 1 species